rnacentral:tRNA from 1 species
CUCUCCGUAGUUCAAUGGAUAGAACGAGCGCCUCCUAAGCGCUAGAUGCAGGUUCGAUUCCUGUCGGAGAGACCA